GACGAACGCUGGCGGCGUGCUUAACACAUGCAAGUCGAACGGAAAGGCCCUGCUUUUGUGGGGUGCUGGAGUGGCGAACGGGUGAGUAACACGUGAGUAACCUGCCCUUGACUUUGGGAUAACUUCAGGAAACUGGGGCUCAUACCGGAUAGGAGCUCCUGCUUCAUGGUGGGGGUUGGUAAGUUUCGGCGGUUGGGGAUGGACUCGCGGCUGAUCAGCUUGUUGGUGGGGUAGUGGCUUACCAAGGCUUUGCAGGGUAGCCGGCCUGAGCGGGUCGCCGGACACAUUGGGACGGAGAUACGGCCCAGACUCCUACGGGAGGCAGCAGUGGGGAAGAUUGCACAAUGGGCGGAAGCCUGAUGCAGCAACGCCGCGUGCGGGAUGACGGCCUGCGGGUUGUAAACCGCUUUCGCCUGUGACGAAGCGUGAGUGACGGUAAUGGGUAAAGAAGCACCGGCUAACUACGUG
rnacentral:rRNA from 1 species